UUUUUCUCGAGCACGACCUCGCAGAACUCUGAUUUACAGUGGGUAAAAGUGAAAAAUGAAGGUGAGAACAACAGUAUUUAUAGGUGAAAAUGAUGGAAGGCCAAAGGUCGCUAUCUACGACCGUCCACGAAGACACGUGUCACAAAUCCAAGCCACUCUCUGCAACGGUCAUAUCUCGACCUAUAUCAUCAGCCAUCACUUCUCGACGAAGGUUCGAGAAAUGAC
rnacentral:lncRNA from 1 species